ensembl:rRNA 5S_rRNA 5S ribosomal RNA
GUCUAUGGUGACACCACCCUGAACAUGCCUGAUCUCGUCUGAUCUCGGAAGUCAAGCAGGGUUGGGGCCUGGUUAGUGCUUGGAUGGGAGAAAGUCCUUUCUGUCACGUUAUGAACU